UACGAAGGGAGCUAGCGUUGUUCGGAAUCACUGGGCGUAAAGCGCACGUAGGCGGAUGUGUCAGUCAGGGGUGAAAUCCCGGAGCUCAACUUCGGAACUGCCUUUGAUACAGCACAUCUGGAGUCCGGAAGAGGUGGGUGGAAUUCCUAGUGUAGAGGUGAAAUUCGUAGAUAUUAGGAAGAACACCGGUGGCGAAGGCGGCCCACUGGUCCGGUACUGACGCUGAGGUGCGAAAGCUAGGGGAGCAAACGGG
rnacentral:rRNA from 1 species